GAUGAACGCUGGCGGCGUGCCUAAUACAUGCAAGUCGAGCGAACAGACGAGGAGCUUGCUCCUUCGACGUUAGCGGCGGACGGGUGAGUAACACGUAGGUAACCUACCUAUAAGACUGGGAUAACUUCGGGAAACCGGAGCUAAUACCGGAUAAUAUUUCGAACCGCAUGGUUCGAUAGUGAAAGACGGCUUUGCUAUCACUUAUAGAUGGACCUGCGCCGUAUUAGCUAGUUGGUAAGGUAACGGCUUACCAAGGCAACGAUACGUAGCCGACCUGAGAGGGUGAUCGGCCACACUGGAACUGAGACACGGUCCAGACUCCUACGGGAGGCAGCAGUAGGGAAUCUUCCGCAAUGGGCGAAAGCCUGACGGAGCAACGCCGCGUGAGUGAUGAAGGUCUUCGGAUCGUAAAACUCUGUUAUUAGGGAAGAACAAACGUGUAAGUAACUGUGCACGUCUUGACGGUACCUAAUCAGAAAGCCACGGCUAACUACGUG
rnacentral:rRNA from 1 species